ACAGUGGCCUUAUUCACUCUGCAGUGGUUUGGGGGUCUUUGUGCCUUCUUGUUACCCUGGAGCCCUUUGGCUUUUAGAGUCUGUCUAAAACCUCUCCAUGCCUGGAUAGGAACUGCCAUCUUCAUCAUGAGUCUUAUCGCCAGCCUGUCCGGGAUCAAUGAGAAACUACUGCUGACACUAAAUGGGAGAAAUGGAAGCUAUACAGAACCAUAUACGGCGCUGCCUGGUGAAGCUCUGUUUGCAAACUCAUUAGGCAUUU